GAUGAAGAACGCAGCGAAAUGCGAUAAGUAGUGUGAAUUGCAGAAUUCCGUGAAUCAUCGAGUCUUUGAACGCACAUUGCGCCCCCUGGUAUUCCGGGGGGCAUGCCUGUCCGAGCGUCAUUGCUGCCCUCAAGCACGGCUUGUGUGUUGGGCCCCGUCCUCCGAUCCCGGGGGACGGGCCCGAAAGGCAGCGGCGGCACCGCGUCCGGUCCUCGAGCGUAUGGGGCUUUGUCACCCGCUCUGUAGGCCCGGCCGGCGCUUGCCGAUCAACCCAAAUUUUUAUCCAGGUUGACCUCGGAUCAGGUAGGGAUACCCGCUGAACUUAAGCAUAUCAAUAGCGGAGGA
rnacentral:misc_RNA from 1 species